rnacentral:rRNA from 1 species
UGGAUGAACGCUAGCUACAGGCUUAACACAUGCAAGUCGAGGGGCAGCAUGGUCUUAGCUUGCUAAGGCCGAUGGCGACCGGCGCACGGGUGAGUAACACGUAUCCAACCUGCCGUCUACUCUUGGACAGCCUUCUGAAAGGAAGAUUAAUACAAGAUGGCAUCAUGAGUCCGCAUGUUCACAUGAUUAAAGGUAUUCCGGUAGACGAUGGGGAUGCGUUCCAUUAGAUAGUAGGCGGGGUAACGGCCCACCUAGUCUUCGAUGGAUAGGGGUUCUGAGAGGAAGGUCCCCCACAUUGGAACUGAGACACGGUCCAAACUCCUACGGGUGGCAGCAGUGAGGAAUAUUGGUCAAUGGGCGAGAGCCUGAACCAGCCAAGUAGCGUGAAGGAUGACUGCCCUAUGGGUUGUAAACUUCUUUUAUAAAGGAAUAAAGUCGGGUAUGGAUACCCGUUUGCAUGUACUUUAUGAAUAAGGAUCGGCUAACUCCGUGCCAGCAGCCGCGGUAAUACGGAGGAUCCGAGCGUUAUCCGGAUUUAUUGGGUUUAAAGGGAGCGUAGAUGGAUGUUUAAGUCAGUUGUGAAAGUUUGCGGCUCAACCGUAAAAUUGCAGUUGAUACUGGAUAUCUUGAGUGCAGUUGAGGCAGGCGGAAUUCGUGGUGUAGCGGUGAAAUGCUUAGAUAUCACGAAGAACUCCGAUUGCGAAGGCAGCCUGCUAAGCUGCAACUGACAUUGAGGCUCGAAAGUGUGGGUAUCAAACAGGAUUAGAUACCCUGGUAGUCCACACGGUAAACGAUGAAUACUCGCUGUUUGCGAUAUACUGCAAGCGGCCAAGCGAAAGCGUUAAGUAUUCCACCUGGGGAGUACGCCGGCAACGGUGAAACUCAAAGGAAUUGACGGGGGCCCGCACAAGCGGAGGAACAUGUGGUUUAAUUCGAUGAUACGCGAGGAACCUUACCCGGGCUUAAAUUGCAGAUGAAUUACGGUGAAAGCCGUAAGCCGCAAGGCAUCUGUGAAGGUGCUGCAUGGUUGUCGUCAGCUCGUGCCGUGAGGUGUCGGCUUAAGUGCCAUAACGAGCGCAACCCUUGUUGUCAGUUACUAACAGGUUCCGCUGAGGACUCUGACAAGACUGCCAUCGUAAGAUGUGAGGAAGGUGGGGAUGACGUCAAAUCAGCACGGCCCUUACGUCCGGGGCUACACACGUGUUACAAUGGGGGGUACAGAGGGUCGCUACCACGCGAGUGGAUGCCAAUCCCCAAAACCUCUCUCAGUUCGGACUGGAGUCUGCAACCCGACUCCACGAAGCUGGAUUCGCUAGUAAUCGCGCAUCAGCCACGGCGCGGUGAAUACGUUCCCGGGCCUUGUACACACCGCCCGUCAAGCCAUGGGAGCCGGGGGUACCUGAAGUGCGUAACCGCGAGGAGCGCCCUAGGGUAAAACUGGU